rnacentral:rRNA from 1 species
GAUGAACGCUAGCGGCAGGCCUAACACAUGCAAGUCAGGGGGUAUAGUUCUUCGGAACUAGAGACCGGCGCACGGGUGCGUAACGCGUAUGCAAUCUACCUUUUACAGGGGAAUAGCCCAGAGAAAUUUGGAUUAAUGCCCCAUAGUGUUAUAGAAUCGCAUGGUUUUAUAACUAAAGUUCCAACGGUAAAAGAUGAGCAUGCGUCCCAUUAGUUAGUUGGUAAGGUAACGGCUUACCAAGACAAUGAUGGGUAGGGGUCCUGAGAGGGAGAUCCCCCACACUGGUACUGAGACACGGACCAGACUCCUACGGGAGGCAGCAGUGAGGAAUAUUGGACAAUGGGCGCAAGCCUGAUCCAGCCAUGCCGCGUGCAGGAAGACGGUCCUAUGGAUUGUAAACUGCUUUUGUACAGGAAGAAACACUCCCUCGUGAGGGAGCUUGACGGUACUGUAAGAAUAAGGAUCGGCUAACUCCGUGCCAGCAGCCGCGGUAAUGUA